AGCUUUGCGCAGUGGCAGUAUCGUAGCCAAUGAGGUUUAUCCGAGGCGCGAUUAUUGCUAAAAUCACACUGGAGAAACAGCUGUGCCCCAGGUAAUGACCCUUAAAUCUAAAAAUGUUACACUAAAAGAUAAUUUUAGAAGUAAUCUAUUUCGGAUG
rnacentral:snRNA from 3 species